rnacentral:misc_RNA from 1 species
UCAAACUUGGUCAUUUAGAGGAAGUAAAAGUCGUAACAAGGUUUCCGUAGGUGAACCUGCGGAAGGAUCAUUAACAAUUCAAACUUUUCUAUCCACCUUGUGUGCAACUUAAGAAAAAAUCCUACUUUGGAAAGAUUUUUUUUUUUUAAAUCUUUCCAAAGAGGUCCUUAUAAUCAAUUAUUUUUUUCUUUUCUAUUUAUCUAAAAAAUAUAAAUUGAAAUAAAAAAACAACUUUCAACAACGGAUCUCUUGGCUCUCGCAUCGAUGAAGAACGCAGC